rnacentral:rRNA from 2 species
GAGUUUGAUCCUGGCUCAGAUUGAACGCUGGCGGCAUGCCUUACACAUGCAAGUCGAACGGCAGCACGGGAGCUUGCUCCUGGUGGCGAGUGGCGAACGGGUGAGUAAUGCAUCGGAACGUAUCCUGGAGUGGGGGAUAACGUAGCGAAAGUUACGCUAAUACCGCAUAUUCUGUGAGCAGGAAAGCGGGGGACCUUCGGGCCUCGCGCUCUUGGAGCGGCCGAUGUCGGAUUAGCUAGUUGGUGAGGUAAAGGCUCACCAAGGCGACGAUCCGUAGCAGGUCUGAGAGGAUGAUCUGCCACACUGGAACUGAGACACGGUCCAGACUCCUACGGGAGGCAGCAGUGGGGAAUUUUGGACAAUGGGGGCAACCCUGAUCCAGCCAUGCCGCGUGAGUGAAGAAGGCCUCGGUUGUAAGAC